AUCACAGACAACACUGCAGGGCUGGGGGAUCAAAAGGGAAAAAAAAGUCUUGAAAAAGCUGAGCUUCCAAUCUCCUCCCACUGGUCUCUGUGAAGGAUGACUUCAGUCCCUUUCUUAACUAAUUCUGUCACUGUAAAAUCCUACAGUCAUUCUUCCACACAUAAAGGACAAAUAAGCUCAAGAGGAGGAUCUAGAUGCUUUCAGUUUUAACUAUUCACCAAUGGUGGAAAAGGCAGAGUGCCUAAGCUAUGGCUGGGUGGCCAAUAGGACGGCUGUGUGUCUCCCACAUGACUCGCUGCCCCUGGCUUUCACAUGGGCUGUAAUUUAGUUCAAUUCAGAACUGCAGACAGUACAGCUUUCACAGGAGCAAGGGAUGCCUGAGCACAAGUGGCUGAGUUCCGAGUGACUUUGUGAAGCACUUUCCUACCUCCCUCCUUCAGGAAAACGGGGAUUCUGCACCUGCAUCAGGGACAGUCUGGCAAAAGCCUCUGCUGUGCCUCCGGGGACAAGGAACUAGCACAAAUAACCAUUCUGAAAUUGGAUCUUGGAAAAAUUUGUAACGAAUCCAUAAAGGAAACUGAAAGCAGUUUGAUCUUCAUCUUCAAUGACAGUCCCACAAAAGUUGAAGAAAUAUGUUAUGUCUCCAAAGAAGAGUACAGUCGUGCCCUAAAAUUAGGACAUGAUUAAGGACGACAGGAGGUGCGGCAGAAAUGAGGGGAAGGCCAGGAAAAUACAAACGUCUUCAGUCAGGAUAUCACUAAGCUCCUACGCCAGCCGUGAACUGCCUACCUUUCAGUUUCUUAUUAUCACCAAAUGAACGAAUGGAUUCGUAAAUGAGUGAGAGAAUAAAUAAACUCUGAUUUUUAUUAAAGUAAUUAUC
rnacentral:lncRNA from 1 species